rnacentral:rRNA from 1 species
GUAGGUGGCAAGCGUUGUCCGGAAUUAUUGGGCGUAAAGCGCGCGCAGGCGGUUUUUUAAGUCUGAUGUGAAAGCCCACGGCUCAACCGUGGAGGGUCAUUGGAAACUGGAGAACUUGAGUACAGAAGAGGAAAGCGGAAUUCCACGUGUAGCGGUGAAAUGCGUAGAGAUGUGGAGGAACACCAGUGGCGAAGGCGGCUUUCUGGUCUGUAACUGACGCUGAGGCGCGAAAGCGUGGGGAGCAAACAGGGAUUAGGUACCCUGGUAGUCCACGCCGUAAACGAUGAGUGCUAAGUGUUAGGGGGUUUCCCGCCCCUUAGGUGCUGCAGCUAACGCAUUAAGCACUCCGCCUGGGGAGUACGCCGCAAGGCUG